rnacentral:rRNA from 1 species
UACGUAGGUGGCAAGCGUUGUCCGGAAUCACUGGGCGUAAAGGGCGCGUAGGCGGCCUGAUAAGUAGGGGGUGAAAUCCUGCGGCUUAACCGCAGGGCUGCCUUCUAAACUGUCAGGCUAGAGCACAGUAGAGGCAGGUGGAAUUCCCGGUGUAGCGGUGGAAUGCGUAGAGAUCGGGAAGAACAUCAGUGGCGAAGGCGGCCUGCUGGGCUGUUGCUGACGCUGAGGCGCGACAGCGUGGGGAGCAAACAGG